rnacentral:rRNA from 1 species
UACGGAGGGGGCUAGCGUUGUUCGGAAUUACUGGGCGUAAAGCGCACGUAGGCGGCUUUGCAAGUUAGAGGUGAAAGCCCGGGGCUCAACUCCGGAAUUGCCUUUAAAACUGCAUCGCUAGAAUUGUGGAGAGGUAAGUGGAAUUCCGAGCGUAGAGGUGAAAUUCGUAGAUAUUCGGAAGAACACCAGUGGCGAAGGCGACUCACUGGACACGUAUUGACGCUGAGGUGCGAAAGCGUGGGGAGCAAACAGG